ACACAGAAGAGGAUAUUGGUCAACAAGAGACUACAACUCGAUUGGCUACAUAGUACCGACAGCAUAACAAAUUGUGGCCUAUCUAGGUUUGCUUCCACAUUAAUUCAGAAUCAACAGAUGCAUAUACUUGAUAAUGAUCACACUGCAAUUAGCGAUGGAAUGGGCGAUCCCAUUGAUUGUUUGGUUUCCCCAUGUAAUGGUAUAUGUUACCAUGUGGAAGAAAAACAAUUUGAAUGAACCUUCCUGAAACACCUCAGGUCUAUGGCAACAA